GCAAGCACCACCCCUUGGGCCUCACCUUUGCUUCUGGGUGUCUUGACCACAGAGACCUUGCGGGAGUACCUGAAGGUGGUGAUGGCCCUUGAUUACGAGGAGAAGCCGCCCUAUGCCACGCUGAGGAACAAUCUAGAAGUUCUGCUGCAGAAUAUGCGGGUGUCACCCUAUGACCCCCUGGACCUCCAGAUGGUGCCUUAGGUGGAAUCCAGAGAUUCUGAUGUGCAGCUUGAAGUAGAACAUGAAGUAGUGUGACUCGGGGCCUUGUUUGAAGUCAUAGCUCCUCAAAGAAUCCCUUGAAUGUAUAUUCUUGCCACUCCCUUAAGACUUACAAAUCAGCACUGGUGUUGGGGAACCUGAGUGGUGCCCCGUGAUGUGAAACUCCUCUCUAUCCCUCAGCCCUGCAGUUGUGAAUGGAGGUGAGUGGAGGCUCCAUAGGACCUUCCUGUGAUGUCAUAAUAAACUGUUUUAAUCAAA
rnacentral:lncRNA from 1 species